rnacentral:ncRNA from 1 species
AGAUGAGAGAAACACCUCGCCCGCAGGUGACUGCGGGCGGCUCCAGGGCGGCGCGUCCCCAGCCUCGUUCUGGUCGUGCCCUGGCGCACACCGCCGGCGCUUCUGGCUCCGGAACUCCUCACCGAUCGGA